rnacentral:misc_RNA from 1 species
UCCUCGUUUGAGCGAGGCAGUCUGUCCAGAGUGCUCCAAACUCUCGUUUGAGUGGCAACAGGACAUAAGGGUUGCGCUCGUUGCGGGACUUAACCCAACAUCUCACGACACGAGCUGACGACAGCCAUGCAGCACCUGUGCAUCCUGAUAUUGCUAUCUCGUCGGGCUUUCACCCUCCUACUAGAUGCAUGUCAAGGCCAGGUAAGGUUCUUCGCGUUGCAUCGAAUUAAACCACAUGCUCCACCGCUUGUGCGGGCCCCCGUCAAUUCCUUUGAGUUUCAGCCUUGCGGCCGUACUCCCCAGGCGGGGUACUUCCUGCGUUAGCGCCGGCACCCAAGGGGGUCGAUACCCCCGACACCUAGUACUCAUCGUUUACGGCGUGGACUAC